rnacentral:lncRNA from 1 species
UGUCAAUUCAGCAAACCAAAAUGUGCAAGUCAAUAUAGAAAAACAACUGAGAAUGAUUGCGCAAGCCUAAUUCUAUGCAGAAAUAUAAUGAUACUCAUAUCACAACUUUAUUAAUAUAGAGAUGAAAGAUCAAUAUAGACAAGUUUAAGCAAAAAUGUCUCUAGCAAAGUCAUUUUCUAAUGAGCUCAACACAAAGUCAUUCCCUAUUAAGCUUAAGAUAGUCACUGAAUAGAAUAUAAAAUACAGUUCAUAUUACAAAUUAAGCAAAAAUGUCACUUGAUAUUCAGCAUACAAGUUUCCCAGUUGGCAUCUUUGAAUGUAUGCCCACUUAAAGGAUUAAUGCACGCCCACAUUCCAUGUGGCCAACAACAUACACCAAACAUAAUUUAAACCGAAGUUGGUGCCUACUACACAAACAUAAAAAUGGCAAACACACUUUAUAUAGAUCAUUUUCCCUUACGCAUAGUUAUGUUCAAUGAUAUCUUCAUGUCUUUUUCUUUAGUUAUUUGAGCAAAUGUCUUGAACAUGGACGACAAAUCUUCUCCUUAAAAUUGCAUCGGUUUUGCCCUCGAUGACGAAGCAUCAUUCCAAUAAAAAAAUCCACAAUCUCUUGUGUAACAUAAGAACAGUUAUCAUAUGUUUCUAGUAUUCUUCUCGACCUCCAUACAUUUCAUGAACCUCGACCCACAAUCUAGACAUCGUUGCUUCGAUGGGCAAUCUGAAAAUUGGUGUCGGUGCUUCUUACAACAAUAACAAAUGUCCUUGUUCUUCCCUGUCAUUGUAAUCUUCUUCUGGACAUUAUUUCAAUAACAAGUUUCCUACGCUAUGAAUUCAAUAACAAGUUUUCUACGCUAUAUACAUAAAUAUAAACUAAAAACAUGUGGCUAAGUUCACUGGUACAUCUCUCUGUAAUCUACAUAGAUGGAUAUUAAAUUUUUUUUAAACAACAAUUUAUGCGUGAUGAAUUACGUCGACAAGUAAGUACAUUUUUUUCCCCACAUUGUAUCAUGAACUUCUGUAAGAAGAUUGGAGAAAUUGAUUACGCUCAAAUCUAUUGUCGAUAACUUACCCAAACAACUUAUAUAAUAGCAUCUUCUUUGAUGGGUUCUGGCGAUGGUAGAUGUGGGUCGAAUUUUUGGGCCACAAAUCGCUAGUUCACCUAGGGUUUGCCCUUUAGAAUUGGGUAUUUCCUUCCAACUGCAAAGAAAAGAAUUCAUGAGGAGAAGAAGGGUUC